GAUGAACGCUGGCGGCGUGCCUAAUACAUGCAAGUCGAGCGAACAGACGAGGAGCUUGCUCCUCUGACGUUAGCGGCGGACGGGUGAGUAACACGUGGAUAACCUACCUAUAAGACUGGGAUAACUUCGGGAAACCGGAGCUAAUACCGGAUAAUAUAUUGAACCGCAUGGUUCAAUAGUGAAAGACGGUUUUGCUGUCACUUAUAGAUGGAUCCUCGCCGCAUUAGCUAGUUGGUAAGGUAACGGCUUACCAAGGCAACGAUGCGUAGCCGACCUGAGAGGGUGAUCGGCCACACUGGAACUGAGACACGGUCCAGACUCCUACGGGAGGCAGCAGUAGGGAAUCUUGCGCAAUGGGCGAAAGCCUGACGGAGCAACGCCGCGUGAGUGAUGAAGGUCUUCGGAUUGUAAAACUCUGUUAUUAGGGAAGAACAAAUGUGUAAGUAACUAUGCACGUCUUGACGGUACCUAAUCAGAAAGCCACGGCUAACUACGUG
rnacentral:rRNA from 1 species